ensembl:snRNA U5 U5 spliceosomal RNA
UGGUUUCUCCUCAAAGCGUAUAAAUCUUUCGCCUUUUACUAAAGAUUGCCGGGAGAAAUAUCAAUAAC